CGAACUCUGGUAUUGAUUGGUGCUUGCAUCAUGAUUUACAUUUGAGUGAGUGGCGAACUGGUGAGUAACACGUGGGAAACCUGCCCAGAAGCGGGGGAUAACACCUGGAAACAGAUGCUAAUACCGCAUAACAACUUGGACCGCAUGGUCCGAGUUUGAAAGAUGGCUUCGGCUAUCACUUUUGGAUGGUCCCGCGGCGUAUUAGCUAGAUGGUGGGGUAACGGCUCACCAUGGCAAUGAUACGUAGCCGACCUGAGAGGGUAAUCGGCCACAUUGGGACUGAGACACGGCCCAAACUCCUACGGGAGGCAGCAGUAGGGAAUCUUCCACAAUGGACGAAAGUCUGAUGGAGCAACGCCGCGUGAGUGAAGAAGGGUUUCGGCUCGUAAAACUCUGUUGUUAAAGAAGAACAUAUCUGAGAGUAACUGUUCAGGUAUUGACGGUAUUUAACCAGAAAGCCACGGCUAACUACGUGCCAGCAGCCGCGGUAAUACGUAGGUGGCAAGCGUUGUCCGGAUUUAUUGGGCGUAAAGCGAGCGCAGGCGGUUUUUUAAGUCUGAUGUGAAAGCCUUCGGCUCAACCGAAGAAGUGCAUCGGAAACUGGGAAACUUGAGUGCAGAAGAGGACAGUGGAACUCCAUGUGUAGCGGUGAAAUGCGUAGAUAUAUGGAAGAACACCAGUGGCGAAGGCGGCUGUCUGGUCUGUAACUGACGCUGAGGCUCGAAAGUAUGGGUAGCAAACAGGAUUAGAUACCCUGGUAGUCCAUACCGUAAACGAUGAAUGCUAAGUGUUGGAGGGUUUCCGCCCUUCAGUGCUGCAGCUAACGCAUUAAGCAUUCCGCCUGGGGAGUACGGCCGCAAGGCUGAAACUCAAAGGAAUUGACGGGGGCCCGCACAAGCGGUGGAGCAUGUGGUUUAAUUCGAAGCUACGCGAAGAACCUUACCAGGUCUUGACAUACUAUGCAAAUCUAAGAGAUUAGACGUUCCCUUCGGGGACAUGGAUACAGGUGGUGCAUGGUUGUCGUCAGCUCGUGUCGUGAGAUGUUGGGUUAAGUCCCGCAACGAGCGCAACCCUUAUUAUCAGUUGCCAGCAUUAAGUUGGGCACUCUGGUGAGACUGCCGGUGACAAACCGGAGGAAGGUGGGGAUGACGUCAAAUCAUCAUGCCCCUUAUGACCUGGGCUACACACGUGCUACAAUGGAUGGUACAACGAGUUGCGAACUCGCGAGAGUAAGCUAAUCUCUUAAAGCCAUUCUCAGUUCGGAUUGUAGGCUGCAACUCGCCUACAUGAAGUCGGAAUCGCUAGUAAUCGCGGAUCAGCAUGCCGCGGUGAAUACGUUCCCGGGCCUUGUACACACCGCCCGUCACACCAUGAGAGUUUGUAACACCCAAAGUCGGUGGGGUAACCUUUUAGGAACCAGCCGCCUAAG
rnacentral:rRNA from 2 species